rnacentral:sRNA from 1 species
GAGAAUUUCCAGCAGGCAAGGCAGUGGCCGCUUUGACUGCCUGCUUGGGAGAUCCGAGACAACGGAGAAGGCACUCUUAUUUACCAACCGAGAAAGCCCUUUCCCCGCCCUCCGUUAGCUAAUUAAAACAUUUUUCAGGGACGUAGCAAUCCAAAGACAUUCCAUUAUUGUUCCAUUGACCUUUCCCUCAUCACUGAGUCCUUUGGAGCUGAGUUAUGUCAACAGCUGCCUUAAUUACUUUGGUCAGAAGUGGUGGGAACCAGGUGAGAAGGAGAGUGCUGCUAAGCUCCCGCCUGCUGCAGGACGACAGGCGGGCAACACCCACGUGCCACAGCUCCACUUCAGAGCCUAGGUGUUCUCGGUUUGACCCAGACGGUAGUGGGAGUCCAGCUACCUGGGACAAUUUUGGUAUCUGGGAUAACCGCAUUGAUGAGCCAAUUCUGCUGCCACCCAGCAUUAAGUAUGGCAAGCCAAUUCCCAAAAUCAGCUUGGAAAAUGUGGGGUGCGCCUCACAGAUUGGCAAACGGAAAGAGAAUGAAGACCGGUUUGACUUCGCUCAGCUGACAGAUGAGGUCCUGUACUUUGCAGUGUAUGAUGGACACGGUGGACCUGCAGCAGCUGAUUUCUGUCAUACCCACAUGGAGAAAUGUAUUAUGGAUUUGCUUCCUAAGGAGAAGAACUUGGAAACUCUGUUGACCUUGGCUUUUCUAGAAAUAGAUAAAGCCUUUUCGAGUCAUGCCCGCCUGUCUGCUGAUGAGAACUGUGCCUGGUCAGCAGCUCUAGACCUGGAGCCCGUGGACACUAUAUGCUGGGCUUCAGUGGAAAGAGAGAUCUGCUUAAUUUUGUCCCAGGUGAAGGAGUCCAGCGGUUCCUAGCCUGGACUACAGGAAGGUUCCCACAUCUCUUUGUCCCAUUAGUUGAGAUGACUUGCAGUAGAAAUUGUCCACAACUCUUCUGACCUCUGGGACUACUGCAACAGUAGCCCUAUUGCGAGAUGGUAUUGAACUGGUUGUAGCCAGUGUUGGGGACAGCCGGGCUAUUUUGUGUAGAAAAGGAAAACCCAUGAAGCUGACCAUUGACCAUACUCCAGA